UCAGUAUGAAGGUGACACUGAUCCUGGUCCUGGUGGCCGUCGUCGGCCUCUCCUCUGCCUACUCCCUCGGCGAUGUCUACGAGAAGCUCCAUCGUGUCGAGAGGGACAUGAGCUUAGGAAUGAGCGGG